UACGUAGGGGGCAAGCGUUGUCCGGAUUCACUGGGCGUAAAGCGCUCGUAGGCGGUUUGGCAAGUCGGGUGUGAAAACUCCAGGCUCAACCUGGAGACGCCACCCGAUACUGCCAUGGCUUGAGUCCGGUAGGGGACCACGGAAUUCCUGGUGUAGCGGUGAAAUGCGCAGAUAUCAGGAGGAACACCGGUGGCGAAGGCAGUGGUCUGGGCCGGUACUGACGCUGAGGAGCGAAAGCGUGGGGAGCGAACAGG
rnacentral:rRNA from 1 species